rnacentral:rRNA from 1 species
GCAAGUCGAAUGAGAAAGCAACUUCGGUUGUGAGUAAAGUGGCGAACGGGUGAGGAACGCGUGAGUAUCUACUCUUCAGUGGAGGAUACCUCUGGGAAACUAGGGUUAAUCCUGCAUACGCUCGAAAGAGGAAAGGUGGCUUCUUGCUAUCGCUGAAGAAUGAGCUCGCGUCCUAUUAGCUAGUUGGUGGGGUAAAGGCCUACCAAGGCUCAGAUGGGUAUCCGGCCUGAGAGGGUUAUC